rnacentral:lncRNA from 1 species
AUCAAGUCAUCAAUUGCAUUCUUAGUUCUUGGAGUUCUCACCAUUCUCUUUCCAACCGAGGAAGGUCCAACCCUUCAGGUUGCUAUAUCACUUAUAGCUACUUUCUAUUUCAUACAUGAUCGAUUGAAGAGCAAACUCCGAGCAUUCCUUUAUGGGUAUGUCUAGAAUUUCAUCUCGUUUCCCUUUUUGAACUUCAUGAUAGAACAUAAAAUAUUAAUGUACAUAAAUAUUAACCGAGUACAUGAUAGAACAUGAUAACUUCAAGUUAUAUUAAUGUACACAAUAGCUUCAUUUCUUUUUCAAAAAAAUGAUAGAACAUAAAUAUUAACCGGGUAUGAACCAUCUUUUUUGGUUGAGUGGCUGACUGAUUACUCUUCUUUUCUCCUACAUACUUGGGGGCCAUUUGAGCCUCCAACUUCAAUUGGGUGAAGUGGGCUAUGUGACUCACUGUUUGGACUUCCAAUUAUAGUGGCUAGUGAUCCGACUAGUAUGACCCUCAGUUAACUACACUAUUACUAUUUCCCAUCUUCUAUCCUCGCUAACUCAAUUUAAAACAGUGCACCUGAAACAAAUACUAUAUAAAAUAGAUUCGAAUAGUCUCCACUCUAAAGACAAACUGUUAUAAAUUUAUAACUAACUCAUGUCCCAAACUGAUAUAUGAUAUGAUUGUUGGGUUUGAUUUAUUUGAGUUCUCCAAUGGUACAGGGCUGGAGCUUUUAUCUUCUCAUGGCUUGUGGGAACCUUUUUGAUGGUAUCUGUGAUUCCCCCAGUAAUCAAAGGACUGAGAGGCUUUGAAGUAACUACUUCAUUA